rnacentral:rRNA from 1 species
GCGUGAGUGAAGAAGGUUUUCGAUCGUAAAGCUCUGUUGUUGGUGAGAGAAGGAUAGAGGUAGUAACUGGCCUUUAUUUGACGGUAAUCAACCAGAAAGUCACGGCUAACUACGUGCCAGCAGCCGCGGUAAUACGUAGGUGGCAAGCGUUGUCCGGAUUUAUUGGGCGUAAAGCGAGCGCAGGCGGAAGAAUAAGUCUGAUGUGAAAGCCCUCGGCUUAACCGAGGAACUGCAUCGGAAACUGUUUUUCUUGAGUGCAGAAGAGGAGAGUGG